ACAAGAAGUAAACAUAUACAGUCCAACAAAAAUUAUUGAAGCUCUUCCCCAGGAUGAUGUUCAUAUUGUAUGGUAUUAUGAGUAUAUGUAUCCUGUAAUAAAAAUAGUAUUCACCCGGCAUAAAACAACAAAUCGGAUUGACACAGUGGGAUAUUGGGCUGAUGGAAAGUUUGAGCCUAAAAUAUCGCAUACUAAACUUAAACUAACAUUUAAUAAAACAGAAGUAAAUAUUACCGAUGGUGUGCAAGGGAAGGUUACUCUAACUAUACUUAAUGCAACAACAGAUGAGUUCGGUUAUGCCUAUGUGUGUCAAAUGACAUUUCCUGAUAAACGACGAAGCUCGUGGAAUAUAUUCCUUAAAGAAAAGUCAAAUGUUUCAUUAGAUCCUGCUGUAGUGGCUGGUAUAACUGUUGCUGUUUUAUUUAUUGCAGUAUUAGUGAUAGGAGUAAUACUACUAAUAUUGGUCAAAACAAAAACUAGCCCACGUCAUCCGUGUGGUACAAGGAGAGACCCCCCAGAAAUUGGUCGAGAGUAUGAACGAUUUCAGUAUGACGAUAUUGCGGACUUUGAAGGUA